rnacentral:sRNA from 1 species
UCCGUCAGCGACUGGAGGGUAAUUGCACUUGCAGCACUCUGGUUCUGCCUAAUUGGCCUAAUAUGCCAAGCCCUGUGCUCUGAAGACAGCCACAAGAGAAGGGGACAUUGGGAAUGAUCGAGUGGUUCUAGAAGUGUUUCAAUGCUCAGCUUCGUAUCUCCCUGACUGAAAUUUAUGGUGGUGAUGUAGCAACCGAAAAAUGGAUCCUUACUCUGGGCCUGGGAUUUCUCGUUAUCCCAUUUCUCCCCGCAAGUAACCUGUUCUUCCGAGUGGGCUUCGUGGUCGCGGAGCGUGUCCUCUACCUCCCCAGCGUUGGGUACUGUGUGCUGCUGA